GAGCGGUCGAAGCCGACCAAUCGUUCGCGAAACGCAUUUCUUUGGACCAAAAUUGACAUUUCUUUCGCAUUAUUUAGCUUGUGGUAAAUGUUUUUCCGAAGAUUUAAACUGUACCACCUCCAAACCGAGAUAUUUUGGAUCCCUAAAUGUGUACGUUAGCUUCACAGUAGCAUCGCAACUGUUAGCAUGCUGGCUAGCAUA